CCUACGGGAGGCAGCAGUGGGGGAUAUUGCACAAUGGGGGAAACCCUGAUGCAGCGACGCCGCGUGGGCGAAGAAGUAUUUCGGUAUGUAAAGCCCUAUCAGCAGGGAAGAAGAAAUGACGGUACCUGAGUAAGAAGCACCGGCUAAAUACGUGCCAGCAGCCGCGGUAAUACGUAUGGUGCAAGCGUUAUCCGGAUUUACUGGGUGUAAAGGGAGCGCAGGCGGCACGGCAAGCCUGAUGUGAAAGCCCGCGGCCCAACCGCGGGACUGCAUUUGAAACUGUUGGUCUUGAGUAUCGGAGAGGCAGGCGGAAUUCCUAGUGUAGCGGUGAAAUGCGUAGAUAUUAGGAGGAACACCAGUGGCGAAGGCGGCCUGCUGGACGACAACUGACGGUGAGGCGCGAAAGCGUGGGGAGCAAACAGGAUUAGAUACCCGUGUAGUC
rnacentral:rRNA from 1 species